rnacentral:snoRNA from 1 species
AUGAUGAGUAGCAAGCCACCUGACCUAUGAUGAGGUGAACACCCCCUGA